rnacentral:rRNA from 1 species
GACGAACGCUGGCGGCGUGCCUAACACAUGCAAGUCGAACGAUGAACCACUUCGGUGGGGAUUAGUGGCGAACGGGUGAGUAACACGUGGGCAAUCUGCCCUGCACUCUGGGACAAGCCCUGGAAACGGGGUCUAAUACCGGAUAACACUUCCACUCGCAUGGGUGGAGGUUAAAAGCUCCGGCGGUGCAGGAUGAGCCCGCGGCCUAUCAGCUUGUUGGUGAGGUAAUGGCACACCAAGGCGACGACGGGUAGCCGGCCUGAGAGGGCGACCGGCCACACUGGGACUGAGACACGGCCCAGACUCCUACGGGAGGCAGCAGUGGGGAAUAUUGCACAAUGGGCGCAAGCCUGAUGCAGCGACGCCGCGUGAGGGAUGACGGCCUUCGGGUUGUAAACCUCUUUCAGCAGGGAAGAAGCGCAAGUGACGGUACCUGCAGAAGAAGCGCCGGCUAACUACGUGCCAGCAGCCGCGGUAAAAC